rfam:Clostridium sp. BL8 Contig218, whole genome shotgun sequence.
AAAUAAGAUUUGUCAUGAGAAGUCAGCAGAUGUCAUAGUACCAAGGCAGUCAUGAAUGUUUUGGGAAGGAC